UCCCAUUGAGCUCUCUGUACAAAUCAUCGGAUCAACGUAAAAUGGAGAAAAUCGAUAUCUCCUGCUUCUUUUGGAUUAUAUAGAGGAUUAGGGUUUUCAUGUUGGGACCUCGAGCACAACAUCCAGGCCAUCUAACUGGAGGAAAAAGUGAAUCCGUUUUCACGACUUCAUGUUGGGUGUCCAUAGUCGCCUUCAAGGUCUGUGUACACCGGAGUAGUCUUCUACAAGAAGUUGUGUGGAGUAUCCAUUAUUCAAAGGUGAGCUUUUAUGCAAGUAUUGAAUUUAGAUUUUAGGCAUUAAAAACUAAGCGAG